rnacentral:lncRNA from 1 species
AAAGGAGAGCACUCAAAACGGAACAUUAAGGUCUGCCACAUUAACAUGUUGCUAUCAAAUCCUUUAUAACAUUUGUGGACCUUUUUGACGAAAACAUUAUGCCAAUUUGUAGUUGGACUGAAAGUUAAUAGAAGGGGUUAUAUUAAAAAUAAAGUGCUGUUUCCGUAGUCGAAGUAGUGGAAACAAGCGCAUGUGUUGGAAAGCCAUACAAAUUGUGGCUGGAUUUGUUUUCAGCGUUGGUGAGAGCUGUUGCUUCGUUGAUGAUGCUUUGUCAGGCAUCUCAGUGCAUGGAGUAAGCAGGCAUGAGAAAAAAGAAGAAGCAGUUGAGAGCUAUAAGACCUCCUUUUCUCCCUCGUACACUUUGCUUGCAAAUACAAAUAGAUAGAUAGAGAGAGAGAGAGAGAGAGAGAGACUCACGUGAUUACAGUGCAUAUUCAAGAGCAGGUGUAUAUGAGUGUCAGUUUUUUCGAUAUAUAUUUUGUAUAUAUAUUAUAGUAUGUAUGUAUAGCAUGUAUAAGUAUGUAUAUAAUAUGUAUAUUGCCAUAGUUUGAAUGCCGCCCUUAAGCU